rnacentral:rRNA from 1 species
AUUGAACGCUGGCGGCAGGCCUACACAUGCAAGUCGAACGGUAACAGGAAGCAGCUUGCUGCUUUGCUGACGAGUGGCGGACGGGUGAGUAAUGUCUGGGAAACUGCCCGAUGGAGGGGGAUAACUACUGGAAACGGUAGCUAAUACCGCAUAACGUCGCAAGACCAAAGAGGGGGACCUUAGGGCCUCUUGCCAUCGGAUGUGCCCAGAUGGGAUUAGCUAGUAGGUGGGGUAACGGCUCACCUAGGCGACGAUCCCUAGCUGGUCUGAGAGGAUGACCAGCCACACUGGAACUGAGACACGGUCCAGACUCCUACGGGAGGCAGCAGUGGGGAAUAUUGCACAAUGGGCGCAAGCCUGAUGCAGCCAUGCCGCGUGUAUGAAGAAGGCCUUCGGGUUGUAAAGUACUUUCAGCGGGGAGGAAGGGAGUAAAGUUAAUACCUUUGCUCAUUGACGUUACCCGCAGAAGAAGCACCGGCUAACUCCGUG